CGUAGUGGGACCUCGAGGAAACCCAUUCAUUACUUUAAUUCGAGCCCUAGCGACUUUGUUUCCAAGGCAUAUCCCAUGAAACCUUGCAAAAGUACAGAAGACAAGUAAUCACACACAACAAGCAUAGAAUGGAUGGCGGUCGCGUUGACAAGACAGAAAAAUUCAGUUGAAAAGUCGGGUGGAGGUGCUUGUUGCGGAGGGCUCGAUCAAGGAGUAACACCUCUUUAGUUGAGGUUUUCAGAUCAGGCCAACGGCAUGGAUGAACACAUUCAGUAUCUGCCUUGAGGAGAAAAACAAGGAGUCAAAAGUGUGGUAGCAUGGCACCAUGACUGCAUUGGAUUGGCUGAGGAUUUUCAGAAAUCUUGGGAAUCUUAGCAAGGUGAGAAAUUGGCUUUUCUCCCUGCUUGGAUUGCAUAAUCCCAAGGAUGAAGCAUUGGACUCAAGAAGAAAGCAUGAUUUUGUAGAUGAAGUGCUAGCAUGGCGCAUAAAGUUACUAAAAGAGAAGUAUUUGCAAGGAGGGUUGUCAAAUGUUGUAACAUCCUUGGAAGGCCCUGAACUGGACAGUGAUUUGAAAAAUUAUGAGGAAAUUCUUAGAAGGAACAGAAGCAACUUGCUUCAUACACACUUCAUUGAUGGCAAAAAAAGAGCAGAUACCCAGUUGCAAGUGCUAUAUGUAACUACAGAAGACAGAGCUUUGGCAGAAGACAUAAGGAAUGCAUCCAAAGAUGAAAUCUUCAGGAGAAUAGCUGAAAAGCUUCUGCUGCUCACUGAUGAGGAGACAAGGGAGCCUCUGUCAAGCAGAUUUGGAGCUAUCAAAGCACAGCCCAGCAAAGUUAAAAAGGAAACUCUUGUUUUGUUGUACAAUGAGAUUGUGGAAGAGCUACAGAACCAAGAGACACAGGAAGAGGUGUGUAUCCUUGACACCAUUGAGGAAGAUAGAGAAGCUGAUUGCAGCACGAACUGAUUUAUUUCUAUGUCAGUUAAUGUUAGUUGACAUUUACGUGUAGGUCUGGUACAAUUUCAUAUUUAUUUUAUUGUACCCCAUGAAAACCCUGGGUAAGAUUGUUUGUAAGGUGAAUUUCAAUGCCCAAGCUCUGCCACUGAUUUUACAGUGGUAAGUCAACAGUGCACUGAUUUGAAUAAUAAGGAUUUGGUAAGAUUGUUCCUUUUCACAUAACUGUAGGUGACUCAAAAUCUAACUGGCUAGGUAAUGUAGCAGUUUUCAGUUUUUGACAGAGUUAAAUUAGAAACUCUGCGAGCUGGCAAUUUCAGGAAACCCAGUAUUUGUGAGAGUAUGAGACAUGAGAAAACAUUUUAAGGGUUGGUUUCAUGUAGAAAAGGAGAAAACAAAGAACAAAAUUUUACUUGUGCUUUUCUUGUGCUACCAUCUAUAUGCAUAUAAUGUACAAACAGUACAUGGCUGUAUUUCAUGCAAAUAGGUUUAAAUAUACAUCCUGUAAGAGGUGUAAUUUUUAAUGUCAAGAAUUAAGGAAAGCAUAAAAAAAUACUUAGUAGGCUCAGAUGUAAAUAAUAAUUAUAUUAAAUGUAAAUCGUGUACAAAAGACAUUUCAUGUGCUCAGUAUUAUUUUCAAUAUUUUGCGGUGUGGUAUUUAUAAUAUAAUAUAAUAAUUCUGACCUAAUUAAAUUGAUUGAUUUUAUUGACUUGAUUAUUAAAAACAGGAACCUUUCUUAUAAAGUCUUCAACAUCACGUGUGGCAUGAAUUCCAGGGGUUUA